UGUGUAAGCGAAGCUAUUGUGGAGCGGUGAAAGGCUCAGUAACGGGCGAUUUAUUUAGUCUUCUGGGACGGACAACACCGGGAAACUGGUGGGAAAACGUCUAAGCUGCGAAUCACGCUAUGUGGUUGUGGCAGAAACUGUUAGUGCARAARAGUAAGAUGCCAUCCUAUCAGUUAGUAAGUAGGGUAAGGGCCUACUUARACRAARACGGGUACGGGGAAUGAGGGUUUGAUUCCGGAGAGGGAGCCUGAGAGACGGCUACCAGGACCAAGGUCAGCAGCAGGCGCGAAAAUUAUCGAAGCCCGCCUAGGGGCGAUAGUGAGGAGACGUGAAUUUUAKGUGCGUGUAAAGAACGCACUAGCAACUGGAGGUCAAGUCUGGUGCCAGCAUCCGCGGUAAUUCCAGCUCCAGGGGUGUCUAUGAUGAUUGCUGCGAUUAAAAAGUCCGUAGUCAAGCCGCCAGACCAGUCUGGAAUGUUUCUUGAUCAAGAGACGAGCAGGGCUGGGAAAGCGGAGAAUUAGGAGCGACCGAGGGCUAGAGUAUUGGGUGGCGAGAGGUGAAAUUUGAUGACCCAUCCAGGAGUGACAAAGGCGAAGGCACUAGUCAAGGGCGAAUCCGAUGAUCAAGGACGUAGGCUAGAGUUUCGAAAACGAUUAGAGACCGGAGUAGUUCUAGCAGUAAACUAUGCCGACGCCGUGAUAUGAUUUUGUUGUAUUGCGGAAGAGAAAUCAAGUAAGGCUUUGGGGAGAGUACGCGCGCAAGCGAUAAAUUUAAAGGAAAUUGACGGAGGAACACCACAAGGAGUGGAGUGUGCGGCUUAAUUG
rnacentral:rRNA from 1 species